rnacentral:lncRNA from 1 species
AGUCUCAGCUGUAAAAAUAGAGUCCCCAGGGAAUACUGAUAGCCUUUUUCCAAUAAAGCGAAAUCUAUUUGCAAUAAUAGGUAUAUGCAAAGACUUCCUGAAAUUACAGGAGCAAACUCCUUCCGCAUCUCGACCUAAUUAAGAUCCAUUACUCAACAGUGAUCAGUCAGAUUUUACUGUAAGAAGGAAGAAAACAAGGAUCCUGCUAGAACAACAUGGAAACAGGCUGAUCUUAGGACCUACAACAAAGAGAUUUCUCACUGGCUUCCUGGUGGUUCAUUCAAUAGGGAAUUCCUGCAGCAAGUUGGAGGGAGGGAGGAGAAGCAGGGAGGCCACCUCCUGUCAAAGCUGGGACAUCUGAGAGACAGUGGUCACACAACAACUCAACUGCAUGUGCACCUAAAACAGUAGCUUAUUUUCUCUGAC